rnacentral:snRNA from 1 species
GUGCUCGCUUCGGCAGCACAUAUACUAAAAUUGGAACGAUACAGAGAUUAGCAUGGCCCCUGAGCAAGGAUGACACGCAAAUUUGUGAAGCGUUCCAUAUUUUU